AGAGUUUGAUCCUGGCUCAGGAUGAACGCUAGCUACAGGCUUAACACAUGCAAGUCGAGGGGCAGCGGGAUUGAAGCUUGCUUCAAUUGCCGGCGACCGGCGCACGGGUGAGUAACGCGUAUCCAACCUUCCGUACACUCAGGGAUAGCCUUUCGAAAGAAAGAUUAAUACCUGAUGGUAUGAUGAGAUUGCAUGAUAGCAUCAUUAAAGAUUUAUCGGUGUACGAUGGGGAUGCGUUCCAUUAGGUAGUAGGCGGGGUAACGGCCCACCUAGCCAACGAUGGAUAGGGGUUCUGAGAGGAAGGUCCCCCACAUUGGAACUGAGACACGGUCCAAACUCCUACGGGAGGCAGCAGUGAGGAAUAUUGGUCAAUGGACGAGAGUCUGAACCAGCCAAGUAGCGUGAAGGAUGAAGGUCCUACGGAUUGUAAACUUCUUUUAUAAGGGAAUAAACCCUCCCACGUGUGGGAGCUUGUAUGUACCUUAUGAAUAAGCAUCGGCUAACUCCGUGCCAGCAGCCGCGGUAAUACGGAGGAUGCGAGCGUUAUCCGGAUUUAUUGGGUUUAAAGGGAGCGCAGACGGGUCGUUAAGUCAGCUGUGAAAGUUUGGGGCUCAACCUUAAAAUUGCAGUUGAUACUGGCGUCCUUGAGUGCGGUUGAGGUGUGCGGAAUUCGUGGUGUAGCGGUGAAAUGCUUAGAUAUCACGAAGAACUCCGAUUGCGAAGGCAGCACACUAAUCCGUAACUGACGUUCAUGCUCGAAAGUGUGGGUAUCAAACAGGAUUAGAUACCCUGGUAGUCCACACGGUAAACGAUGGAUACUCGCUGUUGGCGAUAUACUGUCAGCGGCUUAGCGAAAGCGUUAAGUAUCCCACCUGGGGAGUACGCCGGCAACGGU
rnacentral:rRNA from 1 species